AGAGUUUGAUCCUGGCUCAGGAUGAACGCUAGCUACAGGCUUAACACAUGCAAGUCGAGGGGCAGCAUGGUCUUAGCUUGCUAAGGCCGAUGGCGACCGGCGCACGGGUGAGUAACACGUAUCCAACCUGCCGUCUACUCUUGGACAGCCUUCCGAAAGGAAGAUUAAUACAAGAUGGCAUCAUGAGUUCACAUGUUCACAUGAUUAAAGGUUUUCCGGUAGACGAUGGGGAUGCGUUCCAUUAGAUAGUAGGCGGGGUAACGGCCCACCUAGUCUUCGAUGGAUAGGGGUUCUGAGAGGAAGGUCCCCCACAUUGGAACUGAGACACGGUCCAAACUCCUACGGGAGGGCAGCA
rnacentral:rRNA from 1 species